AGAUGCGUCAUGGUGGUGUUCAGCGGCUUGAUAUGCAGGCUGUUAUUGUUCAUCACCACAUCACCGCUGGCGUGAACAUCCUUACCAUCCAGCGGAAUAUCAAGUUUGAGAUGGCCCUUGGUCAGACCUUUAAUCUGUAGCUGCUCCAGCGCCGCGCCCAGCGAGGACUUAAGUGGCGUGUGCUGAAAGUAUUCGCCAAUUUCCUGCCCAUCACCGCUGAUAUCGCCAUUGAUAAUCAGCUUUUCCUUCAUGUAAUCAGGAAUGACGGCGCUGACGUUGCGGGCAUUAACCUCCCCCAGUUUUGCCAGAGGAGCCUGCAUCCACAAACCGUCAUUGAGAAAGUUAAGAUCGAUAUCGAGAUUGCUGAUAUCCGGCCAACCCGGCUGGAAGCCAUAGGUAGCCUUGCGUAACGGUACC
rfam:Pantoea ananatis LMG 20103, complete genome.